AGUGAACGCUGGCGGUAGGCCUAACACAUGCAAGUCGAACGGCAGCACAUUAAGCGCUUGCUCUUACGGUUGGCGAGUGGCGGACGGGUGAGGCAUACAUCGGCAUCUACUUUUUCGGGGGGGAUAACGUAGGGAAACUUCUGCUAAUACAUCAUACGACCUACGGGUGAAAGCAGGGGAUCUUCGGACCUUUCGCGAUUGAAUGAGCCGAUGUUGGAUUAGCUAGUUGGCGGGGUAAAGGCCCACCAAGGCGACGAUACAUAGCUGGCCUGAGAGGAUGAUCGGCCACAUUGGAACUGAGACACGGCCCAGACUCCUACGGGAGGCAGCAGUGGGGAAUCUUCGGCAAUGGACGAAAGCCUGACCGAGCAACGCCGCGUGAGUGAAGAAGGCUUUCGGGUCGUAAAGCCCUUUUGUUGGAAAAGAAAGUCGGUGGGUUAGGACCGCGCUUUAAGGACGGGACCCAAAGAAGAAACACAGGCUAACUUACGU
rnacentral:rRNA from 1 species